rnacentral:lncRNA from 1 species
GUACUGUUUAGCCCUAAACACCAGACUUCCUUGCAGACUACUCAAGUGAAAAAUCAAAACAUUGUGUUUUUUUCUAUACAAGUUGUGACAGUUGUAGUUUUCGGUAAAGGGAGAAUUCAUUAUCAAAGGAAUCAUUAUUACUCUCUAGUUAUUUAUUGCGUUUUGAAGAUUGAUUCAAACUUGUAGCGAUUUUCGGAUAUACACAUGUAAUUGUGAGAACACAGAGAACAAAGGAGAACGAGACAUUAAACAUGUUUUGUACGCUUUCCUGAUGAAAAGUUUUAGAAUUCCACCAGUUUACGACGUUAAUUCAAUGGGAGAUCAGAGUGGAUACUACUACUGUAAGUUGUGUGUGAGAGGAUUCAGUUAUGUUGCAACUGGAAGAUCAAGUUAAAACGCAAUGCCCAAGCCAAUGCUGGCAACAGCUUGGCACAUUUGGUUUACCAAGGAAUCAUGAACACACUUACCAUAAUAAAGCAAAUGGGGAUCCGCAAAUGGGACCACAUGGAUGUUCAGGUAACACAAUCAUCAGCGCAAGACAUUCAGAGAACAAAUGGAAAUUCCCACCACAAGUUUAGCUUCCUUCAAUCCUGGAGGGUACUCUGUUGAAAACAAUAAAGCUAAACUACAUCCAUUUUUAGCAGAACAUAGAAUCAAAACAGAUUAUGUGUACCAAUCUUAUGGGCCUGAUCUGAUGAAAAGAGUUUUUUCGACGAACAGCAUUUUGUCUUUCGUGCAGAGAAAUACAUGCUCGCUAACGAGCUUGUACAAAAGUGCUGGCUUCUAAAGCUUGCGCCCUUUCGAUCGUCAAAACAAUUAUUCCAAACGGAAUUUGUCGAACCGGCUGGGUCUCGAGUUAGUGUUAGAAAAAAAAAAAAAAAAAAAAUCUAGACACCAGACCUUUCCCCGUCAUUGUUCGCGGUGAAUUAGAGAUGGAGUUAAAUCGCACUGUUCUGGAAGAUCGUCUAUUACCUAUUAAAGUAGUACUGAAACAGGAUUUAUCAGAGCCGCAAACUCUGUAGGAUGGGUGACUUGCACCAAAAUCCAUGCACCUUAAUGAAAUUGAUUCCUGUCGUGGGUCAACUCAAGUGACAUUCCGUGGUCUUCUCCUACUGCCAAUUGACCAACAUGGACCGCUAGUAGAAUCGAACGAGGACGUUUCGCUACGACUUCAUUGGAUACAAUUUGUCAAACCUUGUGGUAGAGACAAGAGCGUAUUUUACAAUCAGAUCGCAGUUUUCUAAAGGCACUAGAGGAGCGCAAAUCUUUACCUAUUUAUGCCUUCCAGAAUGCUGUUAUGGAUGCUGUUUACUGUAAUUCCGUUGUCGUAUUCGUGGUAAUACGGGUUCUGGCAAAACAAUUCUGAUUAUUGUUGAUGAGGUUCACGAACGCAAUACAAAUUCUGAUUUCCUACUCAUUAUGCUGCGUGAUUUGGUGACCCUGCACCCUGAACUUCGCAUCAUUUUGAUGUCAGCAACUAUUGAUACUUCGCUUUUCAGUCGCUACUUUGGCAAUUGCCCAGUAGUCGAUAUUCCUGGCAGAGUUCACCCCGUGAAAUUAUUACUUGAAGGAUUGUGUUGGAGAUGCUUCGAUUUCGACCAAGACAAUAUACAAAGAAAACAUUUAUACGCAAAGAUGUUGAUGGCGAAGAGAACAUGAAUUUGAAGGUGAUGGGGAAAUACUCCUUUAGCUAUGGCUCUUCUCGAUGAGAAAGAUAUAUGUUUAGAGUUGGUGGAAGAAUUACUUACUCACAUCAAUCAAAUGAAAGUUCUUGGCGCAGUGCUUAUUUUCUUACCCGGAUGGAUCACUAUUUUCGCAUUGCUUCAACUUUUGCAACAAAGUUGAUAUGCUAGCGAUUAUCUACUCCUACCGUUGGACUCCAUGUUGCCACGAGAAAAUCAGUGACGUGUUUUUUAGCCUGCUCCCGAGCGCAAAAUGAUCAAGGUCAUUUUGGCGACGAACAUCGCGGAAUCUUCCAUAACCGAUGAUGAUGUCUUUGUCAUCGAUUCGUGUCUCGCAAAUGUCAAGCUUUUUACGUCACACAACAAAUAUGCACAACUACGCUACUGUUUGGGCAGCUCAGGACAAUUUAGAACAACGUCGGGGUCGUGCCGGCCGCGUCCGUCCGGGAUAUGCCUUUCGAUUGUGCAGCCGCCGUCGCUACCAACAUUUGAUUACCGAAUACCCGAACUCGCCUGCCUGUCAGAAUUCUAAACGUCCUUCAGACGGAAGAUAUGACAGCGAGUUCAAAUUUGGUCGUUACGAAACUCGUGUUGUAUCUCAUCGGCCUUCCCUAUCAAUCAAAACUUUUCGUCAUGGAGAAACGAAUCGGUGAGCAAUGACUCGAUUGGACCUUUUUCCAGCGGUCAACGAGGAGUGAACGGCAACUGGUGCAGAACUUUAGAGUACGAACGAAAACAAGAUGGCUAUCCUACUAAUGUAGGAUGAAAAGGCGCAAUCAGAGCACUGCAGUUCACAUCAAUCAAGCAUGCCCAGUUCCCAACGCUGAUGGAUUGAGUCUUGUAAGUUGUAAUGGUAUAUCAAAGUACUCACUUCGGAAACAGUUUGUCUGUUUGAAUUCGUAUACGUGGAUCUCUUUAAAAUAAGACAAAAUCUAUUGUACUAUUCCAAUGCUUCGUAUGAUAUUUACGCAAGACUUAAAUUAAAAUUGUGUGCAUAUAUGUUUGAAGAAUCCUCUUACUUAAAUACAACGUCAAAUAACAA